UACGUAGGGGGCGAGCGUUGUCCGGAUUUAUUGGGCGUAAAGAGCUCGUAGGCGGUCUGUCGCGUCGGCUGUGAAAACCUGGGGCUCAACCCCGGGCCUGCAGCCGAUACGGGCAAACUAGAAUUCGGUAGGGGAGACUGGAAUUCCUGGUGUAGCGGUGAAAUGCGCAGAUAUCAGGAGGAACACCGGUGGCGAAGGCGGGUCUCUGGGCCGAUAUUGACGCUGAGGAGCGAAAGCGUGGGGAGCGAACAGG
rnacentral:rRNA from 1 species